CGGGUCGUAGCCCAAUCGGUAGGGCACCUGGUUUGGGACCAGGAAGGUUUCGGUUCGAGUCCGGACGAUCCGA
rnacentral:tRNA from 1 species